rnacentral:rRNA from 1 species
GGAAUUUUGGGCAAUGGGCGAAAGCCUGACCCAGCAACGCCGCGUGAGGGAUGAAGGCCUUCGGGUCGUAAACCUCUGUCGGGAGGGAAGAACGGUUCACGUUCAAAUAGGGCGGGAGCCUGACGGUACCUCCAACGGAAGCACCGGCCACCUCCGUUCCAGCAGCCGCGUUAAUACGGAGGGUGCAAGCGUUGUUCGGAAUCAUUGGGCGUAAAGCGCGUGUAGGCGGCUUGGCAAGUCAGUUGUGAAAGCCCGGGGCCCAACCCCGGAACUGCAUCUGAAACUGCCUGGCUAGAGUCCCGGAGAGGAAGGCAGAAUUCCCGGUGUAGGGGUGAAAUCCGUAGAUAUCGGGAGGAAUACCAGCGGCGAAGGCGGCCUUCUGGACGGUGACUGACGCUGAGACGCGAAAGCGUGGGGAGCAAA